GAUGAACGCUGGCGGCGUGCCUAAUACAUGCAAGUCGAGCGAACGGACGAGAAGCUUGCUUUUCUGAUGUUAGCGGCGGACGGGUGAGUAACACGUGGAUAACCUACCUAUAAGACUGGGAUAACUUCGGGAAACCGGAGCUAAUACCGGAUAAUAUUUUGAACCGCAUGGUUCAAAAGUGAAAGACGGUCUUGCUGUCACUUAUAGAUGGAUCCGCGCUGCAUUAGCUAGUUGGUAAGGUAACGGCUUACCAAGGCAACGAUGCAUAGCCGACCUGAGAGGGGGAUCGGCCACACUGGAACUGGGACACGGCCCAGACUCCUACGGGAGGCAGAAGUAGGGAAUCUUCCGCAAUGGGCGAAAGCCUGACGGAGCAACGCCGCGGGAGUGAUGAAGGUCUUCGGAUCGUAAAACUCUGUUAUUAGGGAAGAACAUAUGUGUAAGUAACUGUGCACAUCUUGACGGUACCUAAUCAGAAAGCCACGGCUAACUACGUG
rnacentral:rRNA from 1 species